rnacentral:rRNA from 1 species
AUGAAGCUCCUAUGCUGGAACAUUAGGGGCUUCGGCAAUCUAGGACGCCGACGCCAACUGGUUGAUUACAUACGGCAGGAAGAUAUUGACAUAGUAGGUCUUCAGGAGACGAUCCGCCAGGACUUCUCCAUUCAGGAUUUACAAGGGCUCUCUCGUCACUCGUUCGCCUGGCAAUGGUUGCCAGCGGCUGGGUUGUCUGGAGGGAUCCUCCUGGGUGUCAGGGAGGAUUUCUUCACAAUCGAGGAUAUGGAACGCGGGGAAUUUUUCCUUAAUAUGUCCAUCACCGACCGACGUGUGAACCUCAUUUGGGAGGUGAUCAUUGUCUAUGGCCCGGCUGAUCACGGGCGGUUGGCUGCGUUCCUGACCGAGCUCCAGGAUAAGGUUGAACGGUGCUCGACCCCAGUUGUAGUGGCGGGUGACUUCAACCUUAUC